CAGAAAAUCGUGUACAAAAAAUAAAGUUUUGAAAUAUUCCGGAGAAUGCUGUAUUAAAGUGGCAGCAUAAAACCCACAAAACGUUUUCAAAUUUUCGCUGUCGCAAACAAUCAAAAUAAAUCAUAAUGUUUUAAAACACUAUUCAAUCAAAAGGACAUCAACAAAAUAGUCGUUACAACUAGGAAAAGUUAACAAACUCUGGCUGCAGAGGUAAUCAAGAAGCCUUCAGAAUUUUAUUUUUCUGUUAUGCUUUCGCCCUAUUUUCUUUUGCAAUAAAUAUUUACAUAAAUUUUA